GUGGUGAGCAAUUGCAUUGUGCAUCACUUGUUUGUAUACAUUAUUAUUAGUAGUACUAUUAUCAUCAUUGUAUUAUUAUUAUUAUUAUUGUUAUUAUUGUUAUUGUUAUUUUCCUGUCUUAUUAAACUGUCUUUAUCUCAACUCACAGGCUUCACUUUCCAUUUCUCUCCCCCAUCCCAGAGAGGGAGGGAGGAACGUGAGCGAACAGCUGUGUGGUGUUUAGCUGCUGGCCGGGUUAAACCACGACAGUCUUUUUGGCACCCAACGUGGGGCCCGAAAGGUUGAGAUAACGGCAGAUCUGACCAGAGUGUGUUAAACUAAAAUUGGUAUAAGUAUUAGACCUGCUUAAUAGUCACCUGUCAUAAUGCUGAUUGCUUUAAUCUCAACUCUGCUGCGCCUGUUUUCCAAAUUGAGUAUUAUAGCAUGUUAUUUUCCGUAUGUGCUCUCUGUCAUGUUGUUUAUCCUCUCCGGGCCCUGGUUUCAGAUCAUUAUGGUACUGUGUGUUGUAACAGUGGCUUAUGAGAUGAUGAAAUAUCUGGUCAUGACUCUAACUUGGUAUUUGUACUCAGUAGCAUCGUUGACUCUAUACUUUGGAAACCGUAUCUUGGAAACUAUUAGCAAUUAUACCUGUUGCCUUUUUUCAUUAGGGAGUCAGUCUGUGGAGGGGAAAGGGGAAGAUAUUUUUUCUUACUCGAUCACUCUCCCUUCCUCCUUUACCACCCUCUUAUCCUCCGAGCUUGUUACAAUAGCUCUCCAAGAUAUUGAAUAUCCUUGGGAAGAAAAUAGUCCAAAUCCUUCUGAAAGCCGGUUUUGCCAUAAAACAAAAUAAAGUCAAAGGACCUGCACGAGAGAUCCAGUUUUUAGGAAUAAAAUGGCAAGAUGCACGUCGUCAAAUCCCAAUGGAUGUGAUCAACAAAAUAACAGCUAUGUCUCCACCAACUAGCAAAAAGAAACACAACUUUCCUAGGUGUUGUGGGGUUUUGGAGAAUGCACAUCCCAAAUUACAGUCUGAUUGUAAACCCGCUCUACCAAGUAACCCGUAAGAAGAAUGAGUUUGAAUGGGGUCCUGUGCAACGACAAAUACUUAGCAGACAGUGAGAUGGACUGAGAACUGGCUGAAGGUCUGGGCCUAAGCAGAUUUUUAUGUUCAGUGGUGCUAAAUCCAGUUGUAAGCAAGUUACUCAUAGUACCUCAGGGCUCAAUGAUGGAUCCAAUGCUGUUCAGCAUCUUCAUUAAUGAUCUGGAAAAUGCAGCAGAGCCUGCAGAUGCUACAAAAAUGAGAGGAGUGACUGACAGACCAGGUAA
rnacentral:lncRNA from 1 species